AGCUUUCUGAAUUCUUGCAGAGAUUUUGUCAGACACCAACCCAUUAGGACUGAUCAGACUUCCAAUAUAAGUGAAGUU
rfam:Schistosoma rodhaini strain Burundi genome assembly, scaffold: SROB_scaffold0005924